rnacentral:rRNA from 1 species
CACGUAGGCUGUUAUUUAAGUGUGGAUUGAAAGGCCGGAGCUUAACUCCGAGUUUGGUCUGCAAACUGGAUGACUGGAGUGCGGGAUGGGAGACUGGAAUUCCAUGUGUAAGGGUAAUAUCUGUAGAUAUGUGGAAGAAUACUUGUGGCGAAGGCGAGUCUCUGGCCUGUAACUGACGCUAAUGUGCGAAAGUGUGGGGAGCGAACAGGAUUAGAUACCCUGGUAGUCC